GAUGAACGCUGGCGGUAUGCUUAACACAUGCAAGUCGAACGCAGACUUUCGGGUCUGAGUGGCGGACGGGUGAGUAACGCGUGAGAAUCUGGCUUCAGGUUGGGGACAACCACGGGAAACGGUGGCUAAUACCCAAUGUGCCGUUGAGGUGAAAGAUUAAUUGCCUGAAGAUGAGCUCGCGUCUGAUUAGCUAGUUGGUGGGGUAAGAGCUCACCAAGGCGACGAUCAGUAGCUGGUCUGAGAGGACGAUCAGCCACACUGGGACUGAGACACGGCCCAGACUCCUACGGGAGGCAGCAGUGGGGAAUUUUCCGCAAUGGGCGAAAGCCUGACGGAGCAAUACCGCGUGAGGGAGGAAGGCUCUUGGGUUGUAAACCUCUUUUCUCAGGGAAGAAGGCAAUGACGGUACCUGAGGAAUCAGCAUCGGCUAACUCCGUG
rnacentral:rRNA from 1 species